AUUGAACGCUGGCGGUAUGCUUAACACAUGCAAGUCGAGCGGCAGCAUGUUCUGUAGCAAUACAGGAUGAUGGCGAGCGGCGGACGGGUGAGGAACGCGUAGGAACCUGCCUUACAGAGGGGGACAACUAGAGGAAACUCUAGCUAAUACCGCAUAAAGUCGAGAGACCAAAGCUGGGUAGAAAUACCUGGCACUGUGAGAGGGGCCUGCGUCUGAUUAGCUAGUUGGUAGGGUAAAGGCCUACCAAGGCGAUGAUCAGUAGCUGGUCUGAGAGGAUGAGCAGCCACACUGGAACUGAGACACGGUCCAGACUCCUACGGGAGGCAGCAGUGGGUAAUAUUGGACAAUGGGGGCAACCCUGAUCCAGCAGUACCGCGUGUGUGAAGAAGGCCUUCGGGUUGUAAAGCACUUUAGGCUGGGAAGAAGUUGUGUAGUUUAAGAGAUGACACAAUUGACUGUACCAGCAGAAUAAGCACCGGCUAACUCUGUGCCAGCAGCCGCCGCGGUAA
rnacentral:rRNA from 1 species